AGCGAACGCUGGCGGCAGGCUUAACACAUGCAAGUCGAGCGGGCACUUUCGGGUGUCAGCGGCGGACGGGUGAGUAACGCGUGGGAACGUGCCCUCUGGUUCGGAAUAACUCAGGGAAACUUGAGCUAAUACCGGAUACGCCCUUUUGGGGAAAGGCUUGCUGCCGGAGGAUCGGCCCGCGUCUGAUUAGCUAGUUGGUGAGGUAACGGCUCACCAAGGCGACGAUCAGUAGCUGGUCUGAGAGGAUGAUCAGCCACACUGGGACUGAGACACGGCCCAGACUCCUACGAGAGGCAGCAGUGGGGAAUAUUGGACAAUGGGCGCAAGCCUGAUCCAGCCAUGCCGCGUGAGUGAUGAAGGCCUUAGGGAUGUAAAGCUCUUUUAUCCGGGACGAUAAUGACGGUACCGGAGGAAUAAGCCCCGGCUAACUUCGUG
rnacentral:rRNA from 1 species